AAGUCGUAACAAGGUUUCCGUAGGUGAACCUGCGGAAGGAUCAUUACCAAUAUAGCGAACCGAGCGUUAGCGAGGCUUCGCGAUCAAAUUUGUAUUUAAAACCCAACUCUUUAAAUGUAUAUAUUAUUAUUGUAUUUUAAAUAAUAAAAAGAUCACUUUCAACAACGGAUCUCUUGGCUCUC
rnacentral:misc_RNA from 1 species